rnacentral:other from 1 species
GGCCCUCUGCGGUGUUCGGAAGAUUUUCGAAGCGCUCUUCCCUGAUAAGCUUAAUAAGGGAGCCUAAAGCCGCGAGUCCCUGUCAUGCCGUCCAUCGGAAGACAAUCGCUCGUGCGCAGGGCACCCACCUAUAACACAACAUAGGAAAUGAGCUCGUUUUUCUUCACGGCACAGGCGGAGGGCCA